AUUGAACGCUGGCGGCAGGCCUAACACAUGCAAGUCGAGCGAGAGGCGGACGGGUUAGUAAUGUCUGGGAAACUGCCUGAGGGCGGGGGAUAACUAAUGGAAACGGUAGCUAAUACCGCCUACCAUAGGAUGGACCCAGAUGGGAUUAGCUAGUAGGUGAGGUAACGGCUGACCUAGGCGACGAUCCCUAGCUGGUCUGAGAGGAUGACCAGCCACACUGGAACUGAGAAACGGGCCAGACUCCUACGGGAGGCAGCAGUGGGGAAUAUUGCACAAUGGGCGCAAGCCUGAUGCAGCCAUGCCGCGUGUAUGAAGAAGGCCUUCGGGUUGUAAAGUACUUUCAGUGAGGAGGCGUUACUCGCAGAAGAAGCAUCGGCUAACUCCGUGCCAGCAGCCGCGGUAAUUC
rnacentral:rRNA from 1 species